rnacentral:misc_RNA from 1 species
GAUGAAGAACGCAGCGAAAUGCGAUAAGUAAUGUGAAUUGCAGAAUUCAGUGAAUCAUCGAAUCUUUGAACGCACAUUGCGCCUCUAGGUAUUCCUGGAGGCACGCCUGUUCGAGCGCCAUUACACACUCCAAGCUCUGCUUGAUGUUGGACGACCCGAGAGAUCGGACGUCUGGAACGUGUGGGCGUCGGGCGUCGGACCACGAGCGUAGCAAGACCAUCAAACAGUCAAGUCGUUCUGUGGAGCCGGCGGUCGACCGCCUCUUUUUACAACUUUAACCACAAGUUUGGCCUCGGAUCAGGCGGGGAUACCCGCUGAACUUAAGCAUAUCAAUAAGCGGAGGA